UAACGCGUGAGUAACCUGCCCUAGAGUGGGGGACAACAGUUGGAAACGACUGCUAAUACCGCAUAAGCCCACGGUACCGCAUGGCACUGAGGGAAAAGGAUUUAUUCGCUUUAGGAUGGACUCGCGUCCAAUUAGCUAGUUGGUGAGGUAACGGCCCACCAAGGCGACGAUUGGUAGCCGGACUGAGAGGUUGAACGGCCACAUUGGGACUGAGACACGGCCCAGACUCCUACGGGAGGCAGCAGUAGGGAAUUUUCGGCAAUGGGGGAAACCCUGACCGAGCAACGCCGCGUGAGCGAAGAAGGCCUUCGGGUCGUAAAGCUCUGUUGUAAAGGAAGAACGGCGCAUACAGGAAAUGGUAUGCGAGUGACGGUACUUUACCAGAAAGCCACGGCUAACUACGUGCCAGCAGCCGCGGUAAUACGUAGGUGGCGAGCGUUAUCCGGAAUCAUUGGGCGUAAAGAGGGAGCAGGCGGCCGCAAGGGUCUGUGGUGAAAGACCGAAGCUAAACUUCGGUAAGCCAUGGAAACCGGGCGGCUAGAGUGCGGAAGAGGAUCGUGGAAUUCCAUGUGUAGCGGUGAAAUGCGUAGAUAUAUGGAGGAACACCAGUGGCGAAGGCGACGG
rnacentral:rRNA from 1 species